rnacentral:lncRNA from 1 species
GACACGAGCCUUAAGCAACAGAGAAGGAUGCGAUGGAUUAUUCAUAUCCUUGUCUAUAGUACAUCUACGUGUGGGGCGUAGGCCCUAGUUAUUCAGAGUAUUCUCUUCCAUUCAUAUGCUUUAGUGCAAUUCAAAUAAAAUGAUUGACAAGUCUUCUUCCCCAUAUUUAAAAUUUUGAGAAUUUAAAAUCUCAGCGCUGUAACAACCUCCAUCAACAACACACUUAUCUUUGGACCAAA